CUUGUAAUGAGCCUGACAGUCCUGUUAUAUAUUAUCAGCAAUAUCGUUAUCUUAAUUGGCCGAUACCGAUAUUGCCGAAAAUACCGAAUAUCGGCCGAUAAUAUCGGUAAAACCGAUCAUCGGUCGAUCCCUAGUUAUCGGUACAUAGAAUGCCUCCAGUCAGAACAAUCAACAGAGGCUUGACAGCAUAAUGCUGUAGACAUCCAGCAAUAGCC